rnacentral:lncRNA from 1 species
CAGCACUUUGGGAGGCCAAGGCGGGCAGAUCACCAGAGGUCAGGAGUUUGAGACCAGCCUGACCAACACGGUGAAACCCCAUCUCUAGCAGCCUAGUUUAGGAAGCUGCUUGAUGCCCACAAGGCUAUACUGCCCCAGAGAAGGAGUCCACAUAUAGCACCAUCUAGAAAGCCAAGCCAUAGCUGAGUAUAUUCUGCUCCAUGAACUAGUGGUCACUGCCUCCUUCCAUCCCAGAGGCUACCCUGUCAUUACAACAGCCUUCUCCAGGAAAGCAGCUGCUGCUGUCUAUAUCCUAGAAACAAACUCUCAAAGAGGUUUGCCUUCCACAUCCUAGUGACUGCAACACUCUAACUGUGGACUGAUUACUGAUUUAUUGUGCCAUCAGUGUGCUCACCAACUGGGCCUGGUGUUUCUAGGUGAUCCCCAUCUCAAACCUGCAGAGCAGCCCCAGUAAUCCACAGCCAGGCGAGUGUUUCC